rnacentral:rRNA from 1 species
UAAAACGUAGGUGGCAAGCGUUAUCCGGAUUUACUGGGCGUAAAGCGCGCGCAGGUGGUAGCGUAAGUUGGGUGUGAAAUCUCCUGGCUCAACUGGGAGGAGUCGCUCAAGACUGCGUUGCUUGAGGUCGAGAGAGGAGUGCGGAAUUCCCGGUGUAGUGGUGGAAUGCGUAGAUAUCGGGAGGAACACCAGUGGCGAAAGCGGCACUCUGGCUCGCACCUGACACUGAGGCGCGAAAGCGUGGGGAGCAAACGGGAUUAGAUACCCCGGUAGUCCACGCCGUAAACGAUGUGAACUGGGUGUUGGUGGUUUGAACUCCAUCAGUGCCGUAGCCAACGCGAUAAGUUCACCGCCUGGGGAGUACGGUCGCAAGGCUAAAACUUAAAUGAAUUGACGG